GGCUAUCCCUGUGUCACAGGGCAUCAGGCUGCCCCCACAGCCCGUCAGGGUUGUAUUGAUCCCCGCCCCUUCUUCUGGCAGCCUGCCCUGUGGCUCCCAGGAACUUCAUGGGGGGAAAACUAUCCCUCAAGAGGCCACAGCUGGAAGGUCCCUGAGGGCAAUGUGAUCCCCCAACCCGGCACAGAGGUCAACGGGAAAUCGCCAGGCACCAUCUGCCAGCAGCUCAGCCCAGGCUGCUUCCAACCCAACUCCUGGUCACAGCUGCCCUCGGCCAGGCCGCCUGCUCCCCCAGCCUGCAGUUACCACUGCCCGGGGUGAUCUUCCUGUCCCCUGAGGGCGCCAGGUGCCACUAGAGCCCGGGCCUUGGGGCUCCUGAACAGGAGUGGGCGGGACGGCACUAAGUCAGCAUCUCCAGAACUCUAGCCGGCCCGGGACGCCGCGGCAGCUGCGGACCGGGGAGGCAUACUUGACUCUUUUGAAACACAGAGGGCUGCGGGGAUCCUCCCACCGGCCUGCCGCCUCCCCGCCCCCAGUCUCCCCAGGGCUCCGUCCAGGAACCUACCCAUAAGGCCAGGUGCAGCCCCUCUGCGGUCCGGCUCAGGUGUGAGCCCCGGCCCUGAAGCUCUGUGCCUUUCAAACACCACCAAGAUUCAAAUACAGGGGAGUCUCAACGGUUAUUCCUAUUUUUGUUCAAUCCAUCUGAGCUGGAAGUGAAAAUAUAAAUAUUCGUACUGCCUACUCUUCAUUGUUAAAGUGGAAGAAGGGAAGAGCCAUGUUAUCUGUAAAGUGUUGACAUGAAGAAUAGCUACGUCAGAAAAAUGUGCUGGAGAUUGAACCCAGGGCCUUAUGCAUGCAAGGAAAGCACUCUACCAACUGAGCUAUAUCCCCAGCCCCUAAAAUACUUUUAAGAAACUUAUCAAUCUCCUAUUACAUGCUAGCUCUGUGCUAGGAGUGUUAAUUAAGGGUUGUUUCCUCUUUAAUGCACACAUCUGCAGGACAUCUUUGCCCUCUUGGUAACUCCUGCCUGCCAGCCCUGGGGGCAGAGGUGCCCAGAGGACCUGCACUUAACAAACUGUGGUUGGGUAGAGGCAGUAAACAAACUGUUGAGUGCUGCUCCCAUGGAUUUGAGAUCUACGCAGAAGAGCAGCACUUGGCCAAGUCUAUCCACAGAGGGACUUUAAUUUAGUGGUGAGUUACAGUGAUGUCUAAGGUCUCACUACCAGGAAGCCAGCAUUUGAACUUGCCCCCAGAGGCCAUAGUGAACAGCACCCUGCAAAACUUUGCUCCUUGCUGGACAGUCUGAGAUAAGGGCAGGAUUGUGUCUGAAGGUAGUAGGUGGGGAAAGAGGAGGAGAGACUACGAUAUUUGGGCCACAGAUGAUUCAUUUUCUUCACUAUUUGGUAUUUAUUUUUGUGGUGCUGGGCAUUGAACCCAGGGCCUUGUGCAUGCAAGGCAAGCACUCUACCAACUGAGCUAUAUCCAGUAUUUAUUAAUAUAUUAAUAUAUUCAGUGUUUAUUAAGCUUCUAAUUAUCAUAAGGAUGAAUGAGUUGAGGGUCCCGACCUUCAGGUUGGAAACCAGGAAAGAGACUAGGUCUUAGAGCAGUAGGACACGGUACCCCUGCCUUGAAGUAAUUGAUAACUUGGUUGGGGUAAAAAGAUGAAUGAGAGAGUUACAACAUCGACAGGCUAUAAUGGAGUGCUAAAACCACUGGGUUAAUGGUGGAAGUAACUGGGUUGAAAAUAUGAGAAAUAGUCAGAGGCUAUCUGACAGGAUGGUGGACACAAGGGGGAGCCACUGUGGGUUCUAGGAAGGUCCUGGUCAUGAUUAAAGCAGAGGAUUAGUAAAUAGAUGGAGGGAAUAGGACAUGGGACAAAACAGAGGACAUCAGCUUCCUAGUUCCUGCAUGAAUCCCCAGCCUGAGGGAUGGAGAAAAUGUCAUAUUUUCCUCACCUACUUAUUUUAAAUUUCAUGAUUUAUUUUGUGGUAUUCUAAGUGUUUUUUAAGCCUUGGGCGGUAGGUUGGCUUGGGUAGACUGAAGAGAAAGGAGUAAGCCUUGCUCAGUAACUGUGGUCUGAUUGACAAGGGAGGUCAAGGGAAAAGGAAAUUAAACUAGAGGUGAGGGGAGGGGAGAUUUUGAGUGAGGGUCUCCCAGGUGUGGCAUUCUGACCAGGGGAACAGGCAGGCUGGGGUCUGGUAGAAGCUCCCCAGCAGGGCACACAAGCCCUUCAGGCCUGACCUGCUCCCACAUUCCCAGUUGGGCUCCACCAGCACCCCCUGAAUUCCAACACAAACCUCCAACAACAAACUUCCACUCUUAGAAGCCUUGGGACCUCUGCACCUGCUGCUUACCUUCUUCUGAUAUGCCUUUCCUCUCCACUCCCCAAAUUCCAGUUCACCCUAUACUUUUUACUUUUUUUUUUUUUUUUUUUGGUACUAGGGAUAGAACUCAGGGGUGCUCUACCAUGGAGUUAUAUCCCCAGUCCUUCCCCAGGACUUUUUAAAUUUUUCAUUUUAAGACAGGGUCUCACUAAAUAGCUGAGGCUGCUCUUGAACUUGCAGUCCUCCUGCCUUGGCCUCCCAAGUCUUUGGGAUUACUGCCACUAGGCCAGCCCAGUUUCAUCCUUUAAAAAGUCUAAAGCUGUCUCUUUUUGAUGCAUGAUGACCCCUGGAAGAAUCAGUCAAAGCCCCUGUUCAGUACAAUACACUUUCUGCAGGUACCCUGAGCCCUCCUCCUACGCUUCCAGUAUUUUACAUGGUGCUCAGACAGGAAGAGUUCUGGGAAUGGGUUCAGUAAAGAUGCCUGAAGGAAGUUUUGUUUGGUUGGUUUGUUUUUGUAUUAGGAAUUGGACCCAGGGGCACUUUACCACUAGUGGGGAGCUACAUCCCCAGUCCUUUUUAUUUUGAGAUAGGGUCUUGCUAAAUUGCUGAGGCUGGUCUUGAAUUUGCAAUCCUCCUGCCUUAGCCUCCAAAGUCACUGGAAUUACAGGCAUCCGAAGUUUUGAAAAGUGGUAUUACACUCCCUGGUUGGGAAAUGCUGGUUGCACCUUGAAGUGGCAGUGCCAGAGAAAUAGGUGUAGCUAAGUCCUGGAGCCUGGGGGUUUUCUCAGGAGGGGAGAUAUCUUUCUGGGGAAGGGGUAGGUAUUUGGAUCUCUGAGACCAGAUGAGUGGUAAGUGGAUCAAGACUGGCAGAGGGUGGCAUAGAGGUCUGGGUUGCUGUGGUUUAGGAAGUACAGAGGAUGCUGCUGGGAACUGUAGCUGCCAAGAGAUGGGAACCUGCAGGGUCAUCAGGAAGGCAGUUUCAGAAGAAAGGGUCAAAUGCUGAAGAGCUAAAAUGAGACUAAGAAGAUGGAUUUCUGCACCACCUAGAAAUCAGGUCUGAUAGUAACCGUUAACUGCUCUUUAGUGUGGCAGAGUACGUAGGAUGGGGGAGGUGUUUGAGCAUCCUAAAUCUACCUGUGUUUCCCCAACAUUCUUGCUACCUGCAGCUGACCCUACCCUCCCCCCUGGAUAGCCCAGGAAGACAGUUUGGGAUUCAGAGCUGGGCCCACAAAGAAACAGGAAACCUAAAUGCUAAUUCCAUGCCAACCCCAAUCCCCAUUUGCUAUGUGAGCUGCGGCCAGUCAUAUAACUCUCUGGCCCAGUCCCCUAAUCUGAAAAUGAGGGGAUCAAUAGUUUUAGAACCUGACUGGAAACUACAGCAUUCUUUAUGACAUCUUUAAUUAUAGCAUAGGAAUAAAGAACAAUUUUACUGGCAGAAAAGAUAUUUUGUUUGGAGAUCUCACAUUAUGAGACCUGUAGUAUUUCAUUUUUUUUAAUAUUUGUUUUUUUAAAUAUUUAUUUUUUUUAGUUGUAGUUGAACGCAAUAUCUUUAUUCUAUUUAUUUAUUUAUACGUGGUGCUGAGGAUUGAACCCAGGGCCUUGCACAUUCUAGGCAAACAAUAACCCCAGCCCAGAGACCUGUAUUAUUUUCAAUUGUGUAUACCUUUAUCUCAGCUACUAGGGAGGCUGAGGCAGGACAAUCACAAGUUUAAGGUUAACCUGGGCAACUUAGCAAGACCAUGUCUCAAAAUAAAAAAUUAAAAAGGGCUGGGGAUGUAGCUCAGUGGUAGAGUGAAGCAUGAAGCCCUGGAUUCAAUACACAGCACCACAAA